CGGUCUUAUAUACGAAGAGACCCGCGG
rnacentral:sRNA from 1 species